UGUGGUCCCUCAAAGCCCCGGUGCGGGCGGCAACAACGAAGGUGGUGAUGAUGGAGAAGGCGAGGGAGGUAUGUCUCUUUUCCUAGCUCGUUGGCUUGUUGAUGAUCGUACCGUGAUCAUCAUUCUUCUCCAUUCUGAUUUUCAAUCAUAAAAAGUUAAGAAUUAUGUCUUUAUAAUAUAUAUAUUGAAAUUAGCAUAACAACCUAAAACUUAUUAUAUAUCUAGUCAAAUAAAAGGUGUUAAUCUGGUUUAGCUAAAACAAACCGAAUUCUAAAGACUAAACUGAAAGGAAAAAAGAAUCAAUUUGGUUUUAUUAUCUUAUAUAUAUCCAAACUAACAACAAUCAAACCAAAGCUUAGCCACAAAUUAGAUUCAGCACCCUGGUUUUUUUUUUAAACAUUUUUCUGGAAUUUAUAUUUUGGAUAUUUCAAGAUUAAACUACUUUUAAUUAAAUAACGUAUGUAUAAAUUAUUGAAAAAUACGAAUUAAAAAAUUUGGAUAAAUAUUUUUAGAACCAGCUCUAACCGAUUUGUGGGAGUGACUCUUGUGGUUGUGCAGAAGCAAGAGCAUAGUUGAUGGAGCAUGGCACCAAAAGAACCACUAGAACCAAGAAAAUUCCUAAAUUUUUUGCCAUCUCUUUUUUCUUAAUUUGCUAAACCUUUUGAUUCAACACUCAUAGUUAUGUGCCUGCGUGAAUGGUUUAAGCUCCAACGAAGACAAGUUCAGCACAACAUUUAUUGCAUUAUCAAUUAGUUUCGGUUUUUCUGGGUGAAACAUUUAUUGCUAAUAAUGUCAGUGUAGAAUUUGACAUAGUCUAAAGAAAACCAAAACUUGAUGAAUAGUCCACGAAGAAUAUCUAAAACACGGCUAUAAAUCAAAAUCAGGAGUUGCUAGUUUUUUAUUUCUUUAAUCAUAAAUGAAAAGGAUAUGAUCAAUAUAAUAAUUUAAAAAAUAAUUAAAGAUAAAUGAUUAUGCUGUCAAAAAAAAAAACAGAUAAAUGAAUAUAUUGGAUAUUCAUUAUAAGUCCAUUACAAUAUUCUAGAUAUUUUAUAACUUACUAGAUAUGGACCCGUGCGUUGCACGGAUUGCCGGUCGAGAUUAUCAUUCUUAAUAUUUUUAUUUUAUUUUUGUAAACUUAACUAAAAUUCUAUAAACAUAUAUAUGUUAGAAAAUGCAGCAUAAUUAUGACUAAAUAAAGAUAUAUUAGCAUAAAGCGCAAUAUAAAAUAUUAUGUAUAGUUAUGUGAUACUAAUUAUUAAAUCAUCUAAUAUAAAUAUUAGCCUAUUUAUAAAAUUAUAUAACUAUAAAUUUUUCCACAAAGAUUGAUUUUCUACAUUUUUUCUUUAUUCCUAAUUUAUUGAUAUUAAUAAAUUCUAGAUUUCAAGACGUUCAGAUUAACUGUUUCAGAUUACUAUUGGUUCAUAGUUUAUUAAAAAGUGUUUAAUAAAAAUAAAUAAUUAAACAAUGAUUGUUUCUUAAAAUAUGUGAAAUUUCUAGAAAAUCAAUCUUCUAGGAACAGAGGGAGUAUAAGUUAUGAAGUCAUAAAUGUUCAUAUGUUGUAUUAUUGAAUUUUAAUAAGUUAUUUACAUCCAUCAGAAGAGUGUGUUACAUCUUUAUUUUAAUGUAUGUAAGAUGGAAACAAAACUAUGACAAUAAGAAAAGAUAAAAUUAUAUAGUUACGUAAACAUAUUAACGAUAUAUGUAUAAUAUGUAAACAUAUAGUCUGAGUUACGUAAAUAUAGAUGAUUUUUUAGAAAAGUUUGACAUCAUAAUAAAAUUGUGACAAUAAAAGAAGAGAAAAUAUGAGAUUGUCUAUAUCCAUGUCAUGUAACUUUACUUGAUAAUAUGAAAUAUCCUCAACAAAAAGAAAAUAACCUUAUAAGGAAUUAAAGAAUAUACACUAAAUAACUUAAGACUAAAAAAAAAUUAAGAAAAAAACAUCAGACUAAACAUUAUCUAUUUGCUAUAUGACUUUUGUCGUUUUAGGCCCUUAUUAUCAAUUUUUUUGUUUUUUCUUCUUUAUAAUUCUUAAAUCUCUAUGUAUCUCUCAUUAGAUUUCUCUCAUUUUUGCUCGAACUCCUCUUUCUUUCUCAUUCUCUCCCUCUCGUCGGAUUUCUUCACCACCAUAUCUUUUUUUUUCUUAUCUCCAUUUUUCGCAUUCGUCGGGUAUCACUACCGAGUCUCACUACUCUGACCCACCACCACAACUGAAUCUCACAACUAUCACAAUCACCACCACCAUCAAUACCGAAUAUCACUAAUUCCGAUUCACCACCUUUAUCAAUAUUUACCGCCGCCACCACCACCAAGCUUGAACCACCAUCAUCAACACCAACAAUACUGUUACCGCCUCUUAUCCUCUUUUCCCAACUUUUCUCAUUACUCCACCUUCUUUAUCUCUUCCGAAAUUAGACCAACCCUCUUCGACAAUAACUCUAGUCUAUGUCUAUCGCCGUUCAUAAUUAUUAAUUUGCUUCAAUGGCCAUAUAUUCAUUAUAUAUGAAUAUCACGUGCUAUUUUUAGAAAAACAUCGUGAUUCAAAAUGUUUUUUUAUAAUUGAUAUGAUAUAACAUCGUUAAGAAAUUAGUUUCUUUGAUGAGAAAAUAUGAGACAAUCUAUUUGUUUAUAUAAAGGUGACUAUUUACUAUCUUUUUUUUUAUAGGAUUAAUAACUGAUUUUAUAAUUUUCUUAAUUUUUUCUAAUUUUAAAUCUUUUUCUUGUACAGUUAGUAACUUAUAAAUAAAACGAUUAGCAUAAUUUUAUAAUUUUGAUUUUUAUGGAAAUAUACAUUUAAAUUCCUUAAAUAUGUAUAAUUUUCUUAUUAUAAUCUUUUUAUAUUCUUAAAAAAAAUUAAAUUUAUAAUUAUGUUAUAAUUCUCUUUUAAAAACAAAAUUUUUGUUUGCUAGAUGGCAAAAACUCUUAUGGAAAUAUAUGUAAAAUUUCUUUAUAAUUAGCUUUUUACAUUUUAAAACUGUUUAAAUCUAUAAUUUUUUUAUAAUUAUCUUUUUACUUUCUUUUUCUUAAAAAAAAAGAAAAUUUUAUUUGAAAUUUUGAAAACCAUACUUUAUAUAAUAAGAUUCUCCAAGUUUGUUUCUAUCCUCAUAUAUAUUUUGUCUAUGGAACAAGAGACAAAAAAAAAAAAAUUUAUCUCUUCAUUCAAAAUACGUUACCAGGAAACCCUAGCCGAUUGAGCAAACAAAGAUCUCCACUGAAUUUCCCUAAGCCACAACGUCUUCGUUUUCUGAUGCAUGUCUCCAUGUCACAAAUCACGUCAUCAAGAUAAGUUCUAUUUAUCAAUUAUGUUGCUUAGAUCCGAUCGGCUCAUGCAUAAAAAUAUCUAUGGCAUAUUAAUAUUUAUGGCUUGAUUAUAGAUCAGCUUAUCUUUUAGCUUCGGGAUGCUAUCAAAACUCUAAUCGUAUAAUGAA
rnacentral:lncRNA from 1 species